rnacentral:lncRNA from 1 species
GCAGCCUCUGAUUGCCUUAGACUCACUACUUUCCUUUUUUGUUUUCACAGGAAAUAUGUCAAUGUGGGAACUAAGUUGGAACUUGAAUAAAAACCUUGAGAUUCUCAGCCAUAUUUCAGCCAUCAGCUGCUUCCCUGAUCCCACCACCAGUUCCUAUACUGGUGCCUCAAGUCCUCCCAGUGGCCCACAGAGGUAAGCUUGCUUCUCUGGUUCCUUCAAUACUGUAUGUGAUGUCCUCCAGUUGUGCUGCAUCUCAAAUCUUUUUGGUCAGCAUCACUUUUGUCAAAGUUGUAAUCAGGGUUUUUGUUAAGAGG